rnacentral:rRNA from 1 species
GACAUGGCAGGAAUCCCGAAGAGAUUGGGAGUGCUCGAAAGAGAACCUGCACACAGGUGCUGCAUGGCUGUCGUCAGCUCGUGUCGUGAGAUGUUGGUUAAGUCCCGCAACGAGCGCAACCCUUGCCAUUAGUUGCUACGAAAGGGCACUCUAAUGGGACUGCCGGUGACAAACCGGAGGAAGGUGGGGAUGACGUCAAGUCCUCAUGGCCCUUAUAGUGGGGCUACACACGUCAUACAAUGGCCGGUACAGAGGGUAGCCAACCCGCGAGGGGGAGCCAAUCCCACAAAGCCGGUCGUAGUCCGGAUCGCAGUCUGCAACUCGACUGCGUGAAGUCGGAAUCGCUAGUAAUCGCGGAUCAGCAUGUCGCGGUGAAUACGUUCCCGGGUCUU